rnacentral:rRNA from 1 species
AUGGUCUUCAUGAUCCCAACUGGCGUCGUGCUAUGCUCGAGGAAUUUGAUCCUCUUGUCGCUAACCGAACAUGUUCACUUUUUCCAUGACCUUCUCGUGCUCAUGUUGUUUCAGGGAAAUGGAUCUUCAAGCACAAGUUUCACUCUAACGGCAACUUUCUCAGAUACUCGUUGCGGUGGGUUAGCAGAUAUUUGA